UGUAUCUCCUCUUCAGUAAAAUGCUUGUUCAUGUAUUUCACCUAUUUUUCAUAGGAUUUUGUAAUGAUGAAUAUUGAGACUUCUUUAUAUAUUCCAGAUAUAAAUCCUUUGUUGGAUGUGUGAUUUUCAAAUAUUUUCUCCUACUAUGUUGCCUGUCUUUUCACCUUCUUAAUGAGGUCUUUCACAGAGCAGGUGUGUUUAAUUUUCCUGAGGUCUAAUAUAUUAAAUUUUCACACUUUUGGUGUCAAGUAUAAAAACUUGAAGAUUUUCUUCUAUGUUAUUUUUUUCUCAAAGUUUUAUACUUUUACCUUUGCGUCUGUGAUCCAUUCAUAUUUUUCUUAAAGCUAAGUAAAUUUGGUGCUGAGUGAAGCCUAUUGCGUCUUGUAAGCUAUGUUGUCAAUACCAGCCCGUGACUAUCACUGCAAGUAGCACGGAUUGGGUGUCAUCCAUAAUGUCUUCUCCUUCCUUUUACUGCCUGGUUCUCUGACAUAUAGGACUAACAUGAUAUAUAAACCCUAUAGCUCCUAGAAACAUUUUAGUGGCUACUAAGCUCAGAAAUAAUUUGCCAUCUCUGAGGCAGGUGAUUUUUUGAUUCUUCUUUAAUUUCAUUUUUAGGACACCAAAAGCAAGAGUUGAGUCCACAGUGGUUAGCUCACCAAUUUUCUCCUUUUGAAUGAAAGACCGAAGCUGUAUCUAGUUAUCACCUACACUAAUUCUGGCUCUCUACCUGAGAGUAGAGGAGCAGCUUCAAGCUGAGGAUUACCUCCCUCUGAUGUGCCAUCCUGUCUACAAUAACCAAGUCUUCACACUGGAAUUCACUGAAAACUGCUCCCCAAUCCAGCUGGUGUCUUCUGCAGGGACGUUAAAGAAAUGGAGGAGGAUCCUUUUCCUGUCCUCUCUGCGCUGCUCCCACCUGCUCACCCAAGCAGGAGGAGAGAGGGCAGAAGGAGGACUCCCGAAGCCUCCGAAGGAAGGAAAUCAUUACAGGGCCGGCAGAAGUGGGGCAUGUGCUGCAGCUGCUCGUGGUUUAAGAGGAAGAAACACGGGACCUCAAACCUGGAACACAACUCUUUCAAAAUGCUUGUGAGCCGCCCAAGAAAAACAUCCUCCGAGGCUUAUCUAAUAACCGUGGUCUCUAAUCGUCUCAAUGUGUGCUCAGCUUCCCUUCGGAGUUUGCACCUACUUCCCAGAGCUAACGAGAUGCUGAGACUGAACACAGAGAAAUUUAAUGAAGGGGAUUUAAUAGUUUGUGUUAAAGCUAAUAUGGUCCAUUAGGAGCUGUCUUUUUUAUAAACAAUGAAGAUAUGUUACCUUCUCCUUUGGUGUAAAGUCACCCCACGCAGGACCUGUAAACAUUCAGUAAUGAUCUGUGGAACAUGCAUGACAGACAAUUAAGGUGCCACUUCAAAAGUCUGUUUUCCUCACAUAUUUGGUUUCUCGCUGAAUAAACUCACAAAGAUCAUACA
rnacentral:lncRNA from 1 species